rnacentral:rRNA from 1 species
GAUGAACGCUGGCGGCGUGCCUAAUACAUGCAAGUCGAGCGAACAGACGAGGAGCUUGCUCCUCUGACGUUAGCGGCGGACGGGUGAGUAACACGUGGAUAACCUACCUAUAAGACUGGGAUAACUUCGGGAAACCGGAGCUAAUACCGGAUAAUAUAUUGAACCGCAUGGUUCAAUAGUGAAAGACGGUUUUGCUGUCACUUAUAGAUGGAUCCGCGCCGCAUUAGCUAGUUGGUAAGGUAACGGCUUACCAAGGCGACGAUGCGUAGCCGACCUGAGAGGGUGAUCGCCCACACUGGAACUGAGACACGGUCCAGACUCCUACGGGAGGCAGCAGUAGGGAAUCUUCCGCAAUGGGCGAAAGCCUGACGGAGCAACGCCACGUGAGUGAUGAAGGUCUUCGGAUCGUAAAACUCUGUUAUUAGGGAAGAACAAAUGUGUAAGUAACUAUGCACGUCUUGACGGUACCUAAUCAGAAAGACACGGCUAACUACGUG